rnacentral:rRNA from 1 species
GGGUAACCUGCCCUAUACACACGGAUAACAUACCGAAAGGUAUGCUAAUACGGGAUAAUGUAUUUUGAUCGCAUGGUCGAAAUAUCAAAGCUCCGGCGGUAUAGGAUGGACCCGCGUCUGAUUAGCUAGUUGGUAAGGUAAUGGCUUACCAAGGCGACGAUCAGUAGCCGACCUGAGAGGGUGAUCGGCCACAUUGGAACUGAGACACGGUCCAAACUCCUACGGGAGGCAGCAGUGGGGAAUAUUGCACAAUGGGCGAAAGCCUGAUGCAGCAACGCCGCGUGAGCGAUGAAGGCCUUCGGGUCGUAAAGCUCUGUCCUCAAGGAAGAUAAUGACGGUACUUGAGGAGGAAGCCCCGGCUAACUACGUGCCAGCAGCCGCGGUAAUACGUAGGGGGCUAGCGUUAUCCGGAAUUACUGGGCGUAAAGGGUGCGUAGGUGGUUUCUUAAGUCAGAGGUGAAAGGCUACGGCUCAACCGUAGUAAGCCUUUGAAACUGAGAAACUUGAGUGCAGGAGAGGAGAGUAGAAUUCCUAGUGUAGCGGUGAAAUGCGUAGAUAUUA